rnacentral:lncRNA from 1 species
GUUAUCAGACAGUGAGGACCAAUUACUAUCCUCCAUGUCCCGAACCUGAUAAGGUGAUUGGCCUUGCAGCGCAUUCGGAUGCUGUUGGCCUAACAAUUCUCCUUCAAAUCUCUGAAAUGGCAGGCCUCCAAGUUCGAAAGGAUGGCUCCUGGGUCACAAUUAAACCUCACCCUUAUGCUUUUGUUGUGAACAUCGGAGACAUUUUGGAGGUACGAAUUACUAAAAACUUGUGCAGUCUAUGUACUCUUACUGUCUCAGCAGGUUGUUUACGUUACUUUUUGACACGCAUUUUGAGGCUCUUAUAAAAUAUAAAAUAUAGUUCCAUAAUAUAUUUUUAACAUUUAAACUUUUAUUAAAAAAAAUUAUUUAAAAAAACGUUAUGAAACUAUAUUUUAUAAGAGUGUCAGAGUGCGUGCAAAUAGUGAACGUAAACAAUCACAUGGGACACAGGGAGUAUAUCAAAAUAGUACUUUUAAAAUGAAUGUAAUGCAUCAUCUGGUUUAAUUUGCAGAUUAUAACCAACGGAUCAUACCGUAGCAUUGAGCAUCGGGCAAUCUGUAACUUAGUGCAAGAGAGGAUCUCCAUUGCAACCUUUUUAAGCCCCUUGAUGCAUCGCGAAUUUGGCCCUGCGCCUAGCCUUCUAGUAAAUGGAGCUCGGCCGCAAUUUCUGCGAACCACGACUGAGAAUUACUACAAGGGAGUGUAUGCUCGGAAGCUUGGGGGGAAGAGUUAUCUGGACACUGUCAGACUUUGAAUCAUAAUAUUGCCGAAAUAUUCUGUUACUACUGCAAGCUAAGGCUUUUGAGAAGCCGUUACAUAUUGUUCUAAAAAUAAAUGUGCUGAUCGAUGUUUGUAUAAUGUAUCUACGGGGAAAAUAACAUUCCAAGACAUGCUAUGUUAACUGAUUGAGACUGCUUAUUCUAGAGACAUUUGAUUAGGAACUCAAUCAUUAAAAUAAAUGGUCUCUUUUCUUUUUCUUUUUAUUUUCAAACUAAAAUAAAUGAUCUUAAUAUAGUUUCGUAUCCAAAUCUCAAUAUGGGCAUAAAAUCAACAAGCAGCCGCUAUUAGAGGGAUGAUACUUUAUAAUAAAAGUUAAAUGCAUGUUGUGUAUAUGUAGUUACAAGCAGAUGCAUUUGGUGUACUCCAAGUUUACUAUCUAGCAAAAUUCAGUCCGUAAUUUUUAUAGUCGCGAAGGUUGCAUGUUUCUGUUAGAAAAUACAUGCCGUAAUUUUUAUAAUCACGCAAGUUGUGUGUUUUUGUUAGAUUAGUUUAACGCCCGUUAUGUUUAUUGCUACCACGUGCUUUGCUAGUCAAUUGUUGCAAUUACCCAUCACCUCUGUCGUAUAUGCCGCGCUUUGCCAGUCAACUGUUGCAAUUACCCAUCACCUCUUGUUAUACAUGCCAUCUGUCAUCUUCUUCUUGAUUUCAGUAUCAUAUUUGAUUUCCGCCAAAUUUUAUUUUAAUUUAGUUAUAUAUUUGAACUCAUAUUUGAAAAUACAUUAAUUUAAAAUUAUAUUCUAAUUUUAUUAUUUAAAUAUUUAUACUAAACAAGAUUCAUAUUUGAAAAUACAUUAAUCCAUAAAUUUGUAUAAUCCUGCAUGUGAAAAUAUUCAAAUGCUACAAACUUUUAUACAUUAUAAUCCCAAGAAUCCAACAACAAGUAUUUAUGAUUAAUAAGUUCAAGAUUAUUAUAUUAACAUAAAUUCACUCCCCUUCUAUGUAUAAAAUCACAACAAACUAUAUUUUAAAUUUGGAUUCAAAAUUUUGUAUGAUUUUUGUUUAGACUUGUUGAUCCCGAUUCGUUUAUUAUUUGGAUUAUAAAAUUAUACCAAGAAGGGGCUUUACUAAUAUUAAAAAAAAUUAUGAAAAAGUUUUAAAGAUCUCAAAUACAUAAUAUUUCUUUUAUACAUUGUCCCAGAGAAGGUAAUUGCAUCCUUCGAGAUGUCAUCUUUUAAAAACAAUCCAAUAUUAAUUCACUAUUGAUCUUUACAAAUACAUCCUUCUCGAUGCAUAUCACCAAGCUAUCAUUCAUCCAUUCAUCUCCCAUUUAAUUUCGCGAAUUAGUCUUGAAGAUAUUCAUUGCAGAAAAUACUCUUUCAUUAAAAACAAUUGGCACAGGUAGAAGUAAUGCUAAUUCAAUCAAGCGAUACACCAAUGGAUAUGUACAAGACUUUUUAGUUACCGUCAUUUUUUUUUUUGCAAGAGUUCCCAAAUCUCCACAAAUCUCCGAUGCUAGAAAAUUCUGGAUCUCUCCUGACAUCAUAAAUAUACAUGUCUACCGUCACUUGAAUCCAACGAAUUUCAUGACCUUUUAGUAAAAUAUUUAGCAACUACAUUGAGCCUACAUAAAUUUAACACUAAAGUUUUCAGGUCACGAUUAAUCCCUAAUUUUAACAUAUGCAAAAAAUAAAAAUUAUAUAUGUGUAUGUAUAUACAUAUGAGAACUAAAACAUAAACAUGAGCUUCGAGAACAAUGAAAGAAGUUG